GUUCUUAGAAUUGAGCAAGACAUUAUGCAAUCUAUUGCCAAGGCUGGAGCUGGCACAGAUUGUGAACUUAGGAAAUUGCUAGAUGAGAUAUCGCCAAAAAAUUUUGAGAAGAUCAAUAAACUUUUGGUUGUUAAAGAUGAAGAAAUAUCUAAACUGAAAGAUGAAAUAAGAAUCAUGUCUGCCCACUGGAAGCUCAAAACCAAGGAAUUUGAAACACAGUUGGAAAAGCAGCGACGAGCUGAUCAGGAGCUGAAAAAGAGGGUGCUGAAGUUGGAAUUCUGUCUUCAGGAAGCUCGUGCUCAGACACGAAAGCUGCAGAGGAUGGGAGAGCGAAGGGACAAAGCUCUGAAAGAACUGAGAGAACAGUUGGCCACAAAACAACAGUCUGUAGCUGCGGUUAAUAAUGAAAAGCAAAAUUUCUUUGAAUCUUCUGGCUUCAAGAUUGUAGUUUCCAUGUCAAUUUUGAUCCUGGUAGUAUUUUCAAAGCGAUGAAAUGAUUGUCCGAUCCUUAUGUAUAAAUGUCUUGAUAGUUUAGGGGAGUUGUAGAGGUCAUUUUGCUUAUAGAAAUGCACAGUAGAUAUUCUAUUUUGUAUGUAGCCGUUGUCAGAAGUGCCUUUUUUUUUGUGCUCUUGUUACUAGAAUCCUCAAAUGUUUUGAAUUGUGCUGGCAAUUCGGCUACAAUAUUUUAGAAUAUUAGAAAAUUAGAGGGUCG
rnacentral:misc_RNA from 1 species